GUGGGGAAUAUUGGACAAUGGGGGGAACCCUGAUCCAGCCAUGCCGCGUGUGUGAAGAAGGCCUUUUGGUUGUAAAGCACUUUAAGCGAGGAGGAGGCUACCGAGAUUAAUACUCUUGGAUAGUGGACGUUACUCGCAGAAUAAGCACCGGCUAACUCUGUGCCAGCAGCCGCGGUAAUACAGAGGGUGCAAGCGUUAAUCGGAGUUACUGGGCGUAAAGCGCGCGUAGGUGGCCAAUUAAGUCAAAUGUGAAAUCCCCGAGCUUAACUUGGGAAUUGCAUUCGAUACUGGUUGGCUAGAGUAUGGGAGAGGAUGGUAGAAUUCCAGGUGUAGCGGUGAAAUGCGUAGAGAUCUGGAGGAAUACCGAUGGCGAAGGCAGCCAUCUGGCCUAAUACUGACACUGAGGUGCGAAAGCAUGGGGAGCAAACAGGAUUAGAAACCCGUGUAGUCC
rnacentral:rRNA from 1 species